rnacentral:rRNA from 1 species
UGUGUAGGCGGUUGUUUAAGUUUGGUGUGAAAUCUCCCGGCUCAACUGGGAGGGUGCGCCGAAUACUGAAUGACUUCGAGUACGGGAGAGGAAAGUGGAAUUCCUGGUGUAGCGGUGAAAUGCGUAGAUAUCAGGAGGAACACCGGUGGUGUAGACGGCUUUCUGGACCGUAACUGACGCUGAGACACGAAAGCGUGGGUAGCAAACAGGAUUAGAUACCCUGGUAGUCCACGCCCUAAACGAUGCAUAUUUGGUGUGGGCAGUUCAUUCUGUCUGUGCCGGAGCUAACGCGUUAAAUAUGCCGCCUGGGGAGUACAGUCGCAAGGCUGAA